CAUUUAGCGAAUAUAGGCAGGCGUGGAGUGCGGACGAAAGUUUCCACGGCAUGCGAAUAGAGAAGAAACCGCCUGCACAAUCGCAAUCGUCCCAUCCUCUGAUCCGCCGCCGCCUCCCCACCUGAACCCUCCAGUAUCUCGGUGCGCAGCCGGAACUCCCGCUCCUGUAGCCUUUCCACGAGGCGGGCGAGCACGCUGACCUCCGGCCCCGUUGACGGCACCGACGCCGAGCGCGCCGGCUGCACCUACGCGGAGUAGUGCAGUAAAUAGACCCCGAAGGACCGCGUGAAGGACCUGCCUCCCUUGGCCCCCGAGCCGGGCGGCAGCGCGGGCGUGCCAGGGGCGGCCGGCGCGGCGUCGUCUCCGGGCGCGGUGACGAUGGGGCCGGCGGCUACAGUGGGGAUGGGGAUGCGGUGUCGGGGCCGGCUUGCACAUGGAGGAGGUGGACUUGGGCGACGACAUGCGUCACCGCCUCCUCGACAACCAUGUGGAGCUUUCUAGAUCUUAAAUCUCUCUAAAUUAAUUACUGAUCCUGUCCGAGCUGCUCUUCGUCUUGGAGAUAUGAUGAACAACUUGGCAGACUGAUAUAAGGUUUCUUGCUAUUUUGGUGGGGAUUUAUUUCUACAAAUCGUUGCUUGAGUGCAGGUUAAGCACGUCAUCAAUAUCAUGUGCCAUACAAGGAAGACAUAAUGAAAGAUUUUGCAUCUCCACAAGAAGUUGAAGAAGUAGAAAAGUGAAAGGAACUUGCAGCUAUGCAUAUAUUGUGGUGAUUCUGUUCCGUUCUUUGGAGUUCAAACGACUUGUUACGUAGCUAAUCAAGAAACUAUCCUGUCUAUGCUAGAUUGUAAGCUCGUAUGUCAAGUGUGUUAGUUGUGUAAAUAUUAUGUUAUACUAGAUGACCUGUUGCGCCAUCGCGCAAAUGGCAUAAUUAAGUUAGAAUUUAAACCAUAAAUUUUAACUUGUUAAUUAGCAUGAAAUUUAGCUGCUUUAGUAUAAUAUAGAC